GUUUUUUUUUUUUUUUUUUUCCUGCCCUCCAUCCACCACAGACCGCAGUGCCAACCGUGAGCCUUCAGUGUCUGCAUUUCCCGCGGAGUCGCAGCCGCCCUGGGGUUCCUUUCUCCGCUUCUUGCCUCCUUUCUGACCUCCCACCUUUGCCCUUUCUGUUUCUGCUCCUCAACACUUUGGCCAGGAAAAGGUUCUGGUGGCCGCAAUAUACGCUUUCUGGGCCGGCUCCGGGACUUCUCCAGGUCUGGGGUUUUCUGUGACUUGACUUAGGCGACAUUUCCUCCUCGUGGCGGCGGACUUGAGGUUUGACAGUUUGCGGACCGAGGCAAUCCACAGCGCCCUCUACCGGCUACAUGGGAUCUGCAACGUUAGAGUCCUAACGGAGAGUCUUUUUCACUAGGUCCAGGACAAAAAAAUACUGAUAAGUUGUCGAAGACUAGUAGUGGUUAACCUACCACUCAUUUAUUCACCCUAACCAUUCACCAUAUUAUCCACCCAACUGCAUGUCAAGCUCCCCAUAGGGCCAUCCUGCGAUAUAGAUUAUGUCACUGCGAUAUAGAUUAUGAUUGACUUCAGAUCACCCAGCCUCCUGCACCCACUGUUUGAAAGAUCCUGUGUGUAUAUCAGGGCCAUAGGAGAUCCCGUGAUACCUAAAGUCCUCAUCUAAUUAUGCUUGGCCUUGGAAUUUUGUUAUGCCCCAUUUCCUCUCUGAGGAUAAUAGGACAUAUGGACAGUAGCUUGCACUUUCUGCAUUUCCAAAGCCUGGAGAAAGCAGUAGAUUUUCUUGCUUGGCAGCCUGACCUAAGGAGACUUUGCCUUGUACUGAAGCAGUAGGAUCAAAGCCCCUAGAAAAUAGUAGAGCAAGAAAAUCUCUGGGACUAGCUACAGUUAGGUGGAUGUAUUCCAGUCUCCAAUCUCUAGCACCCAUUUAUCCACAUAGGCUCUCCUCCAAAUUCUUCCCCCACUCUUUGAACUCCUGUCAAAAAAGAAUCCUCUUCAUCUUCCCCAUCCCAUCCCACCCAAUAUGCCUAAAUCACACCGUAGCUCAAUAUAUGUCUGCAGAGUAAAUGCAAGAAUGUCUGGUCACAUUAAUAAUACAAAAUCAUUCCAAUAAGAUGAUUUGCUAUGAUUUGUGUCAUACGUAUUUAUGUUCUUUUUGGGUAGACCGUAAGCUUCUUGAUUUUAAGGGCUAUAUCAAAACAUUUAGACAAUGUUCCCAGAAAUGUACCCAGUGGUCUGAAGCAUUUGGUGCUAUUAAUCACUCCAUGCUCAAAAUUCUCCCAUUGACUUCAGAGUUACCACUUUUUCAUGGUUCUCCUCUGUCUCUUGAUAUUUUAUUCUCAGAAUCCAUUGCGGACUCCCGUUCUGCUUUGUAUACCCAUCCCCAUGGAUCUUCAACUGCCACCUAUUGCUGAUGAUUCCCAAAUACUUCCCAGCCAACCUUUAUCUAGAGCUUCUGACUAAUAUUUCCACUAAAAUAUCCCCAUCUGAACUUAUGAACACUGCCUUGUGCUUGCUUCUUAUUUUGUGUUCUUGAUGUAGAUGAUUAGCAUGAGCCAUUCCCACCACCCCACUACCCCAUAAGCUCCUGUUUUAGUCAGCUCAGACUCCAUUAAAAAAAAAAAUACCACAGGCAGUUUCCACAGUUGACAUUUUUUUUUUUCACAGUUCCAGAGGCUGGUAAGUUUGCAGGUUCAGCAAGAUUCAUUUUCUCGUGAAAAUUCUUCCUAGUGUGUAGAUGGCUGCCUUCUCCAUGUGUCUUCACAUAGUAGGGGGGAGGUUGAGAAAAAGGGAGAGAGGCAUUUUUUUAAAAUAAGGCCAGAGCUUGUUGAAUUACGUAGAAUAUGUGCCUUCCAAAAUUCAGAUAUUGCCAACAUGAUAGGAUUAAGAAUGGAAACUUGAAGAGCUUAUAAACCAUGGGGGCUUCUUUUUGGUUAAUGGGAUUAAGAUCUUAUAAAAGAGACUCCUUGUAGCAUUCAGCUAGCUUUCUCUUGUACUCUUCUGCCAUGUCAUGACACAGCAUUUCUUCCCUCUGGAAGAUACAACAAAGGGCCUCACAAAAUGCUGGCAAUUUUAUCUUGAAUUUCAUAACCCCUAGAACUAUGAGAAAAAAAAUUCUAGUUUUUUAAACUACCCAGUCUCAGGCUUUCUGUUAUAGUAACACAAAUGGACUAAGACACCUCCCAAAGAUUCUAUCUUCAAGUACAGUCAUGUUGAGGGUUAAGGAUUCAAUAUUAGAAUUUGAGGAGGACACCAUUCAGUCCAUGGAAAUUCCCAAGGCUUUCUUCUUCAUUACUUAAUGAUUAUAAAGUUAUUUCAAUUCAGAUGUCUCCUAAGUUCAGCCCCACCGCCUCAUAACCACUCUUCUUUCUCUGUCUUAACUACAGCCCUCCAUCAUCCACUGUCUCAUCAUUUAUCUUCUGCUUCUACUGUCAGGCUUUAAUCCACAAC
rnacentral:lncRNA from 1 species